rnacentral:rRNA from 1 species
GACAGAGGUGCCAAGCGUUAGGCGGAAUAACUGGGCUUAAAGCGUGUGUAGGUGGAUGUCUAAGUACCUUGUGAAAUCCCAUGGCUCAACCAUGGAACUGCUUGGUAUACUGGAUGUCUUGAGCCACUUAGGGGCUACCGGAACAAAUGGUGGAGCGGUGAAAUGCGUAGAUAUCAUUUGGAACGCCAAUGGCGAAGGCAGCUCGCUGGGACGGUACUGACGCUGAGACGCGAAAGCGUGGGGAGCAAACAGG